UGAACCACAGAAUCCAGGUCGGAUUUUAGGAGGCGACUGAAAACUCCACCUGUUGCAGAUGGGUGUUGACGUCAUAAUCAGUGGACCUGCAUCUCGGCAAAACGACCGAUACAACCGACACAAACCGCGGGACCAACGUUCGGCAGGUGCUACUUUCUCAGUCCAGGAUGUUUAUUUUCCCCUCAGGUUCCUGAUGAUGAAGACGAUGCAGGGAGCUUAAAGUGGAGGAAGUCAUGCACAGACGGUGGAGAUACAGAGCCUUCGACAACAGGAGCCUCCUCGCAGCUUUUAUUUCACGGCUGCCCCAAGUCUCAAUGAGAGUGUCAGCUCUGAAGAAUGCCUCGCCCUCCUCCUCCUCCUGCUCCGCUCGCUGGGAUUCAGCCGCCGUCCAGCCGGCUGACAGCUUCCCCACCACAUCGCCUGGCGACUGAAGGGACCACACACGCUCUCUGUUCUCCAUGCCUGAGUAAUUCUUCUCCUUGGCUUUUUGGGAGGGUCGAAACUACACAACACUUGUAUCUGUGUCUGCGGAGGCCACAGCUCAGUGAAGUCGGCGGGUCGUGUUGUCGUUGGCGGGCAAAUCACUGCAGGACGUGACAUUAAUGAGGUUCCCCUCGCUGGGUACGCUCUGUGGUUCAGACACACACCUGAUUCUGUCUGAAAGAGCAGGAGGAGGGAAAACAUGCGGGUGACAUCAAAAUAAAGGCGUGGAGGCCGACGUCUCAACUUUAAAUCAGAUUCAGCACGAAUUUAUAAAGAAGGAAACUUAAUAUGUUUUAUAUUUAUUUAUCUACUUUGUUCACAGUUUUGUGUUACAUCAGCUCGGUCUCAUCAAAUGAUAUCUGAAUAAUACACCAUUUCAUGUGUUAUCACUACAUAUUUUCUUGCUUUUUGCGUCAUUUCACAGCUUUUAGUCUCUAUUGGCAGUUGGCAGCCAUGACAGUCGACUCAGAGCCUGUCGGCCUGUGGAUAGAGAGCUGUGUUUAUUAAGAGGGUCAAGGUGUUUUUACUGUGAUACAUUAAACCAAUUUGAGUGCUUCUUUUUGUCAAAUUGAAGAGAAAGUAAUCAGUCAGAGGACAGUGAACAAAGUCU